rfam:Triticum aestivum genome assembly, contig: Triticum_aestivum_CS42_TGACv1_scaffold_306780_4AS
AUAUUACUCCCUCCGUCCGAAAAUACUUGUCGGAGGAAUGGAUGUAUCUAGACAUAUUUUAGUUCUUGAUACAUCCAUUUUUAUGCAUUUCUCCGACAAGUAUUUCCGGACGAAGGGAGUACUUG